rnacentral:lncRNA from 1 species
GUCACGCACACAACCAAUCCUCAAAACCAUUUUCAUACAAGACACAAAGUAGCGCAACUGCUGCACUGCUCUCGUGCAGCCCGGUCCACAGCACAUGCCUGACGCCCCUCCCUCUCUCGCGCGGCCGCGCAAGCGGCCGGCGCAGCCACACUACCUAGCUGCUAGCUGUUUUAGCCAGCCCUAUAAAGCCAACAUCAGAAGCUCUCGCAAGGCUCCGAGAAGCUUGCUCAGCUCCGAUUAGCUCACUAGCGCGAUAGCCAGUUGUAGCCAGCUAGUUUAGAAGGCGGCGGAGUCGGGCAGGACGCGGCGCUGCACGGCAAACAGGGCCUCCUCCUUCUUGUAGUCAAAGGGCUUGUAGUUGACCUUCUCGUCGUACACGUGGCACUCGGUGCAGAUGUUCUUCACCACGCGCCAGUUGAAGGUGCACUCGGUCAUGUACUGCAGACGGUAGGGAGAGGGUGGGGUUGCACAGGUGGGUGAGCGGAGCGCGAGAUAUAAGAACAGCCUUUUGUCACGAGCACACACAUGUCGCUACGCCGCAGCAACCCACAACGCGCCCUGGCUUGCCCUUGACUUGGCCGCUGCCCCGCAGCGCAUGCAGCACGCGUGCGGGGACAUCAUCAUGCUCGCUCUCAGCUCCCUCCCCAACCUCCCCGCCACCAGACCGCUGUACACUAUUAUGCAUGCCCUGUGCCUGUGCAUGCCCUGUGUGUGCCGCCUGCUCCGCUCUCACCUGGCCCCAGUUCUCGCGCAGCGACUCGGUCGCCUUGCGCAGGUUGUACCAUGGGAUCUUGGGGGCCACGUGGUGGGGCACGUGCCACGAGAUGUCGUGCGUCAGGAACUCCACCCUGUAGGUUGCGAUUGAGGCGACAGCGUCGGCAACAGCAUGUGGUCAAGCGCAGCGCUGACGGAGUGCACCACCCUACCGCUCCGUCUUUGUAUUCAGACUCCAAGGGAUUCGUUAUUCUUUUCUUGCGCCCUCUCACCAGUUGGGGAAGUCGCAGUGCACGGUGCCCGACAGCUGGGCCUUGGCGGCGUUCCACUCCUCCGCCUUCUUGAAGGGGAUGUGCGGCGCGGUGUGGUGCACCACGGUGAAGGUGCUCAUCCAGAAGUGGUAGCCCAGCCACGGCAUCAGCCAGUACUUCACGAAGGCCCAAGGGCCGCCGAAGUACAGCAGCGCCGGGAAGGCCGUCGCCAUGAAGCCGUACAC